CUCCCCUCUCACCUGCUUCCCCAGGGGAGGCUCUGAGGAGCCAGAGGAGACUGAGCAGCAACAUGGGCGUCAGCAGGCUGGGAGGACUCCACAAGGGUGCGCGGUGGAUCCUGGUCCCAACACGGUGGACUGGAUGCCAGUUCCAGUGGAUCCGUAACCCUCCUCUGACCUCUGAGGACUCCCGCAUGGAUGCAGUGCACAUACGGUCACUCAGCCAUGAAGUAAGCAACAGCCUCCUGUACCCUGGCGCUUUGAGAUGCUCCACCUCACCAGUGAUCCAGAAACUUCUGUCAAGAUAGUGAACACACAUGCAUUCGGAGCCAACCUGAGUUCAGUUCCCAGUAUGGACGUAAGGUGGGUCCAAAUCGCCUGUAACCUCAGCUUUGAGGAAUCUGGCUUCCCCUUCUGACCUCUGUAGAUAACUGUAUUCAUACAUAUACUCUCCCAUACACACACACACACAUAUAC